CACGUAGUUAGCCGUGACUUUCUAAUUGAUUACCGUCAAACAAAGGUCAGUUACUACCCCUGUCCUUCUUCACCAACAACAGAGCUUUACGAGCCGAAACCCUUCUUCACUCACGCGGCGUUGCUCCAUCAGACUUGCGUCCAUUGUGGAAGAUUCCCUACUGCUGCCUCCCGUAGGAGUUUGGGCCGUGUCUCAGUCCCAAUGUGGCCGAUCAGUCUCUCAACUCGGCUAUGCAUCAUCGCCUUGGUAGGCCGUUACCCUACCAACUAGCUAAUGCACCGCAGGUCCAUCCAAGAGUGAUAGCAGAACCAUCUUUUAAACAGUUGAUAGGCAUCAUCUGUUGUUAUCCGGUAUUAGCAUCUGUUUCCAGGUGUUAUCCCGAUCUCUUGGGCAGGUUACCCACGUGUUACUCACCCGUCCGCCGCUAGCCUGUAUCUUGUUUCACAGAGUGCAAGCACUCCGAUCUUCAAGGCAGACUCGCUCGA
rnacentral:rRNA from 1 species